GGGGAUAGUGGCGACGGGUGAGUAACACGUGGGCAAUCUGCCCUGCACUCUGGGACAAGCCCUGGAAACGGGGUCUAAUACCGGAUAUGACCGUCUGCCGCAUGGUGGAUGGUGUAAAGCUCCGGCGGUGCAGGAUGAGCCCGCGGCCUAUCAGCUUGUUGGUGAGGUAGUGGCUCACCAAGGCGACGACGGGUAGCCGGCCUGAGAGGGCGACCGGCCACACUGGGACUGAGACACGGCCCAGACUCCUACGGGAGGCAGCAGUGGGGAAUAUUGCACAAUGGGCGAAAGCCUGAUGCAGCGACGCCGCGUGAGGGAUGACGGCCUUCGGGUUGUAAACCUCUUUCAGCAGGGAAGAAGCGAAAGUGACGGUACCUGCAGAAGAAGCGCCGGCUAACUACGUGCCAGCAGCCGCGGUAAUACGUAGGGCGCAAGCGUUGUCCGGAAUUAUUGGGCGUAAAGAGCUCGUAGGCGGCUUGUCACGUCGGUUGUGAAAGCCCGGGGCUUAACCCCGGGUCUGCAGUCGAUACGGGCAGGCUAGAGUUCGGUAGGGGAGAUCGGAAUUCCUGGUGUAGCGGUGAAAUGCGCAGAUAUCAGGAGGAACACCGGUGGCGAAGGCGGAUCUCUGGGCCGAUACUGACGCUGAGGAGCGAAAGCGUGGGGAGCGAACAGGAUUAGAUACCCUGGUAGUCCACGCCGUAAACGGUGGGCACUAGGUGUGGGCAACAUUCCACGUUGUCCGUGCCGCAGCUAACGCAUUAAGUGCCCCGCCUGGGGAGUACGGCCGCAGGCUAAAACUCAAAGGAAUGACGGGGGCCGCACAGCGGCGGAGCAUGGUGGCUUAAUUCGA
rnacentral:rRNA from 1 species